rnacentral:rRNA from 1 species
UACAGAGGGGGCAAGCGUUGUUCGGAAUUACUGGGCGUAAAGGGUGCGUAGGCGGCCUGCUAAGUCGAACGUGAAAUCCCCGAGCUCAACUCGGGAACUGCGUCCGAUACUGACAGGCUUGAAUCCGGGAGAGGGAUGCGGAAUUCCAGGUGUAGCGGUGAAAUGCGCAGAUAUCGGGAAGAACACCUAUGGCGAAGGCGGGUCUCUGGGCCUUACCUGACGCUGAGGCGCGAAAGCUAGGGGAGCGAACAGG